CGUGCCCUCAGAAGUACAAGAAAGAGCAUUCGUCUGUGGCUGCAUUUAGCCCGAGGCUGAAGUCUCAUGAGAAAGCGUGUACUCUCUCCAGCCCAGGAAAGAAGGCAAGGACGUUAGGAAAAUCAGAGCGAUUGCAGAGCACAGAAAGCCUGCGUCAGCUGCGUACAAAGAGCACAUUUCCCAACCCAAGCCACUGGAGCUAUGAAAUGGUCUCUGUCACUGACUGGGAAACUACCAGGAUGGCCAAGAGAAAAGCAGUGUAAACUGUACUGAGAAACAAUACUGCAGAGCUUUGGGACUGGCUCCCCAGAUGGAAUUAAAGAAAAUGGUCUUGAUAAUCUUUUAAGGGCUGUUGCAUAUAUAGCUACCAGCAGUGAAUGCUGCUUGCAGCUUUCCUCCUCAUCUCUUCACCAUCCACCACGCAGAAGCCAGAAGUCACCUGCCGCAGGAGAGCUACAGAACAUCUCUUCAGCCAAACUGCCUGAUUGUUUCUGAUUCCACGGCUUAAGCAAGCUACACAGACAUUUUCCUUUUGUCACAAUCCAGUCAUAUCCAAAAGAUGAAAAAUAGAGAGAUUUCAUAAGGCUACUUGGCUUUUACAGCUGUUUUUUUUGUAUGAAACAGACAUCGGGUGUUAUUUCUAUAGCUCAAGUACUGCAGUAAAUCUAAAAAUGAAAGCGGUUUUGUUUUCUUACUUUUUAAGAAAUGCUUCUCCCAUGUGUUUCUGAGAGGGUUUCUGAGGCACUCUACAGUCUUUCUGUCUCACCACAACAGUGCAGUUCAGAAAAAUACUUGAGCAAAAGCACACUUAAGACUCCAUUUAUUCCUACCCAGUGUAAAGGAUUUUGAAUCAAGAGGAAC